UUACGACCAUAUCACGUUGAGACAUGGGUUCCCAUAAGAUUACAGAAGUUAAGCAACGUCGCGCCUGAUCAGUACCCAGAUUAUUGACUGCUUGGGAAUAACAAAUGCUGUAAG